rnacentral:lncRNA from 1 species
UGAAUUCUAAAUUAUCUUGCUGAAAUUUUAUAACAUGCGAAGUAUCGAUCUUUCGCCCUUACUGCAUGCUGCAUGUAUUUGGAAUCUAAGUUGGCUAGCUAAAUUCUAAAUUACCUUGCUGAAUUCUGCUGGCUGAAAAUUCCAUAGAAGUCCCUUCUCUGUAUUGCCCAGCUGAAUUCCCAAUUGCCUAGCAGAAUCCUGUGUUCCUAAUUCAGGUCUGCAGAAUCUGAAUUGCAC